rnacentral:tmRNA from 1 species
GGGGGCGUCACGGCUUCGACGGGAUUGCUUGUGGCAGAGAGGCAUGCCGGGGUGUGGACACCCGUAAUCGCUCACAAAACUAUAAGUGCCGAACCUCAGUUCGCUCUUGCUGCUUAAUUAAAUAAGUAGCCGAUCGCUCAAGCUUCGCCUACGGGCCUGUACCGAUCGUCGCACAGUAGGCUGGUCUUCCCUGCUCCGUCUGAGCGGGUCGGACGAGAUCAAUCAGACUGGUCGUCGUCGCAUCUUCGUCCGUUCUAAGCGCCGAUGACGAGACAAAAAUGAUACGGAAAAAGCAUGAAAGCUCUCUGUUGGAAGUUUUUUCGGACGUGGGUUCGACUCCCACCGCCUCCACCA